rnacentral:lncRNA from 1 species
CAUGUUCAACACUUUUCCAUUUGAAGCUUGUAUCAUGAUGAAUUUUGAGGUGGAAGUUUGGAAAUUUUAACAUAUCAAUUUUUUUCUAAGUGUCAAGCCAUAUAUCUCAAGAUUCCACCUUACUUAACUUUUUAUGUGAGCUUAAAAUGAGAAAAGUGUAUUCAUAAAACUUUUAGCUCUUUCAAAGACCUUGAAAAUGGUCACCGAUUUCAUGUCAUUUGGAUUUGAAAUGAUAGAGUUAUGCAUUUUUGAAGUUUGGAAAAAUCACUUGUUCAAUGGUAUAGGUCAAAAGUGACCUAUAAUGUAGCUUCAUAUCACAUGCUCAUAAAAAUUGAAUUAGCUCUCACUCCAAACAUAAAAGUUGAAUUAGACAUCCUGAAUUUGAUUGUUCAACUUGGAAAUCUUUCAUCUCAUAAAAAUUGAGCAAGUUAUGGGAUUGGGAAGUUGACUUUCAAAUUAGGGUUUAGACAAAAUGACCUAUAAUGUUUCAACAUAGAAAAUGAUUUUCCAAGAAAAACUAGCUCUAGGUAUCAACAUGAAAGUUGUUUGGAAUGCCAUUGAGAGUAACGUUGCUAUUGGAAUAAUUUUCAUAUGGUGAAAAUUGUAGGAGAUAGGGUCUAGGGAGACCCAGUUUUGAUCAGAUGAAUUCAUCUGGCCAACCACCAUCAACCAACUUGCUAACCUUCAAUUCUUUGGACUUUCUUGGAAAUUCAUCUGGCCAACCACCAUCAACCAACUUGCUAACCUUCAAUUCUUUGGACUUUCUUGGCUCAUGGUAGAUCAUAUAUGCAUAAGAUGAUGAAUUUUGAAGUGUCCCUUGAGAAAUUUUAUCAAAUGGCAAGAUAGCUUGUUGGAGAAGUUACUCAAGAUACCCAGUCAAACUAGGGUUUCCAGGACAAAUCACCCUCAAACUCUUCAAGAAUGAUUGAUCAAUAUAACAUGUAGGAAUCAAUGGAAAUAAUAUAUGAUGCUCAUACCAUUCUUGGAUCAAUUCAUGGUUGUGCUCUUUGUCAUGAGGGUCAUAAACCCUAUAUAUGAACUUGAUAUAUCAAUGGUGAUCAUGCCCUACCUACAAAAGAGUUAGGCAAACACAAAGACAUAUUUUUGUAUUUUGGUUAGUAAAAUGAUAAUAUACAAGUAUGAUACAAUCACAUAGUGCUUGGUGAUCUCUCCCAAGACAAACGCAAUGAAAGAGGGGUAAGGAGGAUGUCAAGGUAUGAUCCCAACGCUAAUGCUUAUGAUGAAAUUGCAUGAGGGAUCUUAGGGUCAAAAUUGGUGUCUUACACCUGACUCCAUGCUCGUGACUCAUAACAAACCCUUUGAUUCUUGGUUGAUACGAUCAAGUCUUGUCAAUAUCAAUGGAACUUGGGUGUUGAUAAGGUGAAAACCAUAAUCCACCAAAAUGGAUAAUUGAUCUUGAUGAUGACUUGAUCCGUCCCUUGACCUUUACUUGUGCUUGCCUUGUUUAUGAUCCCUUGUGUGUGAUUGUUACAUUCAUGUAUACAUGCGCAUCAUGACAUUCAUCACAGAAAAUAAAUUUCAAGGAACUAAGGUCUUGUUUGCAAAUGUUUUCAGACCAUGGAUUAUGGACGAAGGAACAUUAAGAAGUACAGUUUAAGAUGUCCUGAUUUGAAAGAGCUAAGGAAGUUGUCAUCCUUUGUAUUAGAUCCCUUGGACUUUAAGCAACGUCAUGGGAACCAUUUAUCUGUGUUAUCUGCUGAUAUGGUUGAAGGACUUCUGAGUGUGUUGGUUCAGUUUUAUGAUCCUCUCUACCAGUGCUUCACUUUUCCUGAUUAUCAGCUUGUGCCUACGUUAGAGGAGUAUGCCCAUCUCUUGGGAAUACCCGUAUCUGACAAAGUACCUUAUAGUGGAUUAAAGGAGAUUCCCAGAUCUCAUAUCAUAGCUGAAGCUCUUCAUCUGAAGAUAUAUAAGAUUGAUGCUCAUUUGGUGAAGAAAGGAGGUAUUUUUGGGUUGACUUCUGAGUUCCUCAUUGGUAAAGCUAUUUUUUUUGCUCAAGCAGGUAACAUGGAUGCUUUCGAAGCCAUAUUUGUAUUGCUCAUCUAUGGUUUAGCUUUGUUCCCUAACAUUGACGGUUUUGUUGAUGUUAAUGCCGUUUGAAUUUUCUUGAUUGGGAAUCCUAUUCCUACUCUGUUGGAUGACAUGUAUGUCUCUUUGCAUUUGAGGAAUUCUAAAGGUGGUGGGACUAUUGUGUGCUGUAUUCCUCUUCUGUACAAGUGGUUUAUUUUGCACUUGCCUCAGACGUUUGCUUUUUUAGAGAACAAGCAAUGUCUACGGUGGUCUUAGAGACUUAUGUCUCUCACUAAUGAUGAUAUUGUUUGGUAUGAUUCUGCAUUGAGUAGUGUGGACAUUAUUGACAGUUGUGGUGAAUUCACUAAUGUGCCUCUUGUAGCGGUGUAUUCGUCACCUUAUGAUUUAUUGACUAAAUCAAAAGCAAAGCAUACAAAAAUAGAGUCGCCACCGUACUUCUAUUUAUCCAAAGGAAUGGCUAGAAAGCGAACAAAAGCCUAUGAAGUUUUACACAGAGAAAACUAAUAAAAGGCCAGAGAUCUGGGUAAGGGGGUAAUUAUGCAAAGGGAAGGUGUUAGGCACCCAAUGCAUCCUAGGUACUCCUAGGGAACCUCUUUUCACAAAUGUUGUAUUAUUAUUUGUUUAUGAAAUAUUUUUGUGCAAACCAUGAUUGAAGGGAUGAGAAAAGAAUAUACAAUUUUUAUUAUUUUUGUGUUUGAAUGGAUGAACUCAUUGCCUACGUACCUUUUCAUGAAAGAUAAGGAUCAAAACGCCGUAGUUCGGCUAAAAGAUUUCCAAAAAGUGAGUGGAUUGAUUUUAAACAAGAACCUUAAGGUCUUUCAUUAUCAACGGGAGAAAACUCAACCUGAACCAACAAUCCACCAUGUGAGAAAAGCUUCGACAUGCUAGUGAGGGGUUAACCCUAUAAUAAGCAUGGAAGUCUUACAAUUCAAUCACUAAGGAUGCGGUGAGAUUUACAUCAACCACUAUAAUAAUUCAGAUAUAUGGCUAAUGUAUGAAAACUUGAUUAAGAGAGUGGACAAGGGCCACAAAAGCAAUUGAGUGAGUGAAAUUAACCAAUUAGAAUUAUUCACAAAGAAUGGUCAAAGUUGACAUUAGAUUCAAUUCAAAAGAAGUAUUGUGAAAAUGAAGUUUGAAAAUCAGAGGCUUAAGGCCUAGGUUUCUAGUUUUGAAAACAGAUGAAAAUGUUUGCACAAAGUUUUCUGGUUUGGGUUAAAGAUGAAAACAAGGUUCAAGGUUAAGCACAAAAGGGUUAAGGGACAAAAAACAGAUGAAAAUGUUUGCACAAAGUUUUCUGGUUUGGGUUAAAGAUGAAAACAAGGUUCAAGGUUAAGCACAAAAGGGUUAAGGGACAAAGCCACAAAUAGGAAUCGCUUUCUCAAAAUCAUAGGAAUGAUUCAAGGAAGUUCCUUUGGAAUUAGGCAACACAAGGCAAAAGCAAAUAAGCAAGCUCAAAGGAGCAACAAAACUGGAAAUGGAUUGCCAAUAAAUGGUCUUACGUCCAACUCCGGAAACAAAUGGGAAACGGAGUGCCAAUAAAUGGUCUUAUGUCCAACUCCACAAAGCGACAUGGGAAACAGAUAGCCAAUUAAUGGUCUUACGUCUGACUCCACAAAAAGAAAACAAGUAGGAAAUAGAUAGCCAAUCAAUGGUCUUACACCUGACUCCUCAAAACAAAACAAACACAGGAAACAAAUAGUCAAUCAAUGGUCUUACACCUGACUCCUCAAAACAAAACAAUAUAGGAGAUGGAGUGCCAAUCAAUGGUCUUAUAUCCAGCUCCCCAAAAGGAACAGGAAACAGAUAGCCAAUCAAUGGUCUUACAUCUGACUCCUCAAACAAAAAAAAUAACAAAUGCAAGAGCAAAAUGCAAACAAUAUGCAAAAGCAACAUGAAGGAUGCACAAGUAAGCAACCAAGCAAACAUAUCAAUCAAUUAUCACACGCUAUACACAACCAAGAGGCUCAUACAAGGCUGGGCUUUAGUUAAGGGGUCAUAUCAACCUCGACAAACAAGCCAGAUAUGUAAGGGUGUUUGGGCUCUUAACCACUGACAUUGACCGUCAGGGUGAGCAGAUGAAAUGGGAGAUGAGGGUUAGACCUCAUAGCUCUCAACCCUGGCCGGGGUGAGCUUGAAUCAAAGAAGGUGUGGGAGUCCAGAAUAAGGAACUCUACUCCACAAUGACUGACUCUAUAUACAAUGAUCUUGGGUGUUUAUUCAAAUGCAUCAGCACAUAGUGCGAGCAAUAUGAAAGACUCAACUGAAUAGCAGGGGAUGGAUUGCACAUCCCUCCUAUCUGCCAAUGCCUUCACUUAGGAGGUCUUACAAUGUAACCAUGCCUCACUGAGGUCUUUAGCACAAAAUUAAACAAUCAAGAAUGUGGCCUCUUAAGGAGGGCUUCAGACAGGUGCCUGCCAAAGAUAGCAGGUCUCCAGACUACAUGGAGUUAAGGAAAUACCAAGUGUUGCAACACCAAGCACAGCAAGCAACUCAAGUAAUGAGUUAAAGCUACUAAAGUACCUGUAAGAAAAUCAAACAAGUCAAUAUUCACAUUCAGACAAACUAAACAAACAGUCAACAGUCAGACAACCAAUAUACACAAUGUAAGUCAACAACUCAAGUGAAUUAGCCAUCCAAGGACCUACAACACAAUCAACAUUAGUUAAACAAAGCAAAUUGUAUCUCAAGCAAGGAGAUUACAUCAUCCAUUAGGAAUUAUUGCUUGAACCUGAAAUGCAAAGCUCAAAUUGUGAGUACAAACCCCUAAGGCAAAGCCUAGGGUCAAAGGUGAAGUAAAAAGUCAAAACAGCAACCAACAUUCAACAUGAAUCACAUUUAAUCAAGUAAGAACAUGUCCUAAAAAGGACCAAGCCAAAAGCAUUAAGCAAAGUCAUGUAGUGAGCAAGAGAAGACAAAGGCAAUUUCAAAGCACACAAUUGAACAUUAAGAAUCAAAAUUCCAUAUUAAAACAGAAAUGAAUCAAACAAUCCUGGAAAUUUUUAUGUGCACAUAAUAUGUCAAACAUAAUCACCAUGCCAAAAAUUAGAAUCAACAGAGUUCAAUUGACCUAGAAAUGAAAAUGCACAAGUAUGACAUCAAAUUGUGUGACACACAUUGUCACACCAAAAGUUUAUGUGUCUAAAACAGAAAUCAAAAAUGAUAAAAAUGCACCAUCAAGCCUCAAAGGUCAAGCAACAUGUUGGGAAUCAUCAUACAAAAUUUCAUGGCAAUUGGAUCAUUUUUGAGCAUUUCACACUAGAAAGAAUGAAGCAAUGUCACAAAUGCAUAUAUGAUCAAUCAACCAAUCACAAUUCAAAUUCCAGAGAUGAUAAAAUCAUGAAACCAUCACCAAAAGAUAAUAGACAAACACAUGAACAUUUUGCAAAAAAUUGGGAAUUAAUUGGAUAUGUUUUCAAUUUUAUAUGAUUUUUCAAAGUUGGAUAAAAUGUUUGAAAUAAAUGAGCAAACACAUGUUGAAAAUGGAGGGAAAGAUUAAAUGAUGAAUUAAUUUGAAAACAUGUCUCAGGCUGGAAUCGAACUCGGUGGCAAUUAAAUGAAGCGCUGAAACACAAAUAAUCCAGAAAUGUUCACGUUGGGAAUCGAAUGGGGGAAGGAUGAAACGCAGAGUUUCAUUAAUGCGUUGGCGUCCACGUCACUGAGUCAAAGGCCAUGUGGCUUGGUCAAAAGAACGCUGGCCAACGGAUACGCCAACGAUGUGCUUGCAUGGACAUGACCAUGCAAAGCCCUAGCGCUAAAACCAGAAGGCAGCGCUACAGUACCAGGGCGGCGCGCACGGUGGAAGCCACCGUCUUCUUCAUGAAGACGGUGGAGAAACAGUAACUUCAUGCAAGAAAUUUUCCAGAAUCAUGCAAUAUCUAUACCAAAUGAAAGCUCUUGCUACGUACAUUACAGAUCAAGCAAUAUCUAAGGCUAAUUCAUCAUGAAUCUUGAGAAUCGAUCAAAACAUUAUUGGAUACAAAACUUUAAAUCCACAUAACUCGGUCAAUAUUCAUCCAAAUCACAUGAAAUUUUCAUCAGCAUGCUCAGCAAGAGAAGGUCUACACUAUCAUGGCAAAAGAUUGGAGAAUUAAGAGCUUCGAAAAACCUACCUCUUGAAGAACAGUUUCUGGAAUCAACAGUUUCAAGGCCUGACACGAUUCAAAUCCACUCCUCUAUCACUGUUAUGAAGCUUUAUGAAGAAAUUGAGGCUUGGAGAGGCUUAGAUCUAGCUCAAAUAACAGUUUCCAUCUUCACCUUCAUGAGCUUGAUAUGCUUGAUUUCCACUCAAAUCCUUCAAAACAAAGUUUGAUCUGCACUAAAGGAGGGUCAGAGAACAAGAAUAUACAAGAAAAUCACUAGCUUAUGUGAAGAAAAUUUGAAUUUGGAUUGAGAGAAAAUUUUGGAGGGAAGAAGAAUUUAGAUCUAGAAAUGGUGAAGAUCCAGAAAUUCUGUUAAAAUUCUGUUAGGAUUUGGUAUAUAUACUCAGUCUUAAUCACAUCCUAAUUAAAAUUAAGCAUGGUUUAAUUGAGAUUAGUGAAAAUGGGGUGUGUGACCAAAAAUGACAAUUUGUGUGGUGCAUGGGAAAUGCAUACGUGAACAGUACCAAAUGGGAGCUCAAAUUCACUUAAAAUCUUCCAAUGAACACAAUGGCAAUGGUAUUUUGUCCAUACAAUGCACCAAUUUUAAAUUUAUCAUUUUCCCUCUAAAAUAGUCAUGAAAGAACAAAUGAUCAUGUGAUGAAAUUUCAUGCAAUGUGAUGAAUGAUUUGGAAAUUAGAGGUCAUGACAAGCAAAAUGCAAAAAGAGGCACUCAUUUUGGAGUUAUGAGUCAAAAGUUAUGGCCUUUUGAAGUUCCAUGCACACUUGGCAAUGAUUGGACCAUAUCUCCUCAACCAUUCAUCUGAUGCUCAUGAUCUUGGGCUUUUUGGAAAUGGGAGAGAGAGAUCUUAAACUUUCAUGUUGGACAAAAGUUCAUUUGAAGCUUCUUUGAUGUUGGAAAGUUGAGUUGAAGUUGGUCCAAAAACAUUCCAUUUUUGGAAACUUGAAAUUAUAGGUCACUUUCCAUUUUGGGAAACUUUUGUACUGGCUUCAAAUUCUUCAAUGUAGAUGUUUGACAUGAUGAAUAAGCAUUGUUGGCACAUGAAUGGGAUGAAGAAACUCAAUUUCCCAAUUCAAAAACCACAGUUGACUUUCAGUUGACUGGCAUAGGCCUUUAGAUGACCUGAAAAUGUUUUGAUGAACUUGGGCCUUUGCCACUUGGGGAAUUUGCUUCACAAUGGACCUCUAGCUCACAUAAGCUCAAAAUAAUGAUCACAUGAUCCAUAUCUCAAGGAAAACCUCAUCUCUUGCACAAAGGAUUCACUUGAUUGCCUUGACUUGUUGAUUGUUUAAGCUGCAAGACAAAGGUUAAUGACAUAUUUUUGUACAUUUUUGGUUAGUGAUUAAUAGAAAAGCAAUGAUACACAAAUGCAAGGAAUGCUUGGUGAUCAAGAAUUACUCUCAAGAAAGAUCCCACCCACAGGGAAGGAAGCAAGGUGUCCAAUGAUCCUUGAGGCAAUGCAAUGUUAUGAUAUGAUGCCAUGAGGGAUCUUAGGGAUAAAAUUGGGGUCUUACACCUCUCAUUGGUACACAAGGAGGAAUCAACUAUAACCCUGCUUUGAAUCGUCGUCAACUUGGGUUCUCCUUGAGAGAUAAACCUAAUAACACUCAGUUAGAAGGUCUAUUUUAUAAAGAGGGUAAUGAUCCUCAACAUUUGAAGCAAAAGAUGAUACAUGUGUGGCAUAAUAUGCAUAGGAAAGGAAGAUCUGAGCUUAGUCAGCGCAAAUGUGUAGCUCUGGGAGCUUACACUAUUUGGGUGAAGAAGAGAGCUUUGGAGCUGAAGAUGCCAUACGCUUGUGAAAGAACUAUAUCUAUGGUUAUGGCUGAGCCAUCAACUCUCCCUAACCAAGAUAUAGAGGAGUUGGAAGACGCACUCACCAAGAUGAAGCAAGAGAGAGAUAUGUGGGAAGAGCGGUUCCAUACUUUGAGCUGAAAGCAUGAGGAGUUGUAGCUUGAGUCAAAAGACAAGGAUGCACUUAUUGAGAUUCUUGAAGACCGAGCAGUGAAAAGACAGAGAGAUCCAGAUGGUCUACCUUCCUCUAUUAUGCCUCAGCCUUCCAGUGCUUGGAAGAAGAUUAUUGAUCAGCUAGUUCUUGAGAAGGCUCAGAUGAAGAUAUCCUUUGAGUUUGAGAUUCUACACAUCCGAAGGAAGUAUUCACAAUAGCCAGAUCAUCUGACGCAGUUGCUAAGGGAUCCUUAGGAUGAUAGUUUCCUUUUCUCUUGUAUUUGUACUUUGGUUUCUGAAAUUGUACUUAGUGUAAUCCUUCCAAAUUUUAUGAAUAAAAAUAGAUUUUAUGGUCAAUCAAAUUAUUGUUAUUUGAAUAUAAAUUUGCAAAUAGGACUUCAUAUGUUCCUUGAAAUUAAAAAACAUUGCAUUUCAUACAUCAUUUGCACAACACGUUUUCUUCCGCCAGAUGUCUUAUCAGUUCUCCUUCUAUGCAUCAGCCAAGCUGACUCACCGUUACAAUACUCGCGCUAAUCAACCAAGGAUCAUGGAGCAUCUAGAGCAAGAGAGCAGAGAGCUAAAGGACGAGAUCACCAGAUUAACGACUAUGAUGGAAUCUGUCAUUGCUGCAUAUAAUCAAUCUUCACCAUCUUCUGCAACUCCUCCCUAGAUGACUUUUAUUUCUGAGGUUGCUACCUUAACUGUUCCUGUUGCUGCUGCCAUUCAAUCCAUGCCCUCUAUGCCUGCUGGGUUUCCUUGGGGAAUUCCAUCAAAUUUUAUGCCAGAAGGGUAUGCGCCCACCUUUGUUUCUCUGUCGGCAUCUAGCCCGGUCAUGUCAGUGCCUCCCCCGGUUGUUCACACUCUUCCUCGUGUUAAGGAUACUAUCUACCUUUCUGACCCGUCUGAGGGCCCAGAUGUAUAUGAGAAGAUGGAUGAGAUGAAAGAUCAAUUCCUCUAGCUACGUAAAGAGUUGAAUACCUUGAGAGGAAAAUACUUGUUUGGGAAGAGUUCUGUUGAACUUUGCUUGGUCCCCAAUGUUAAGAUCUCGGUGAAAUUCAAGGUCCCAGACUUUGAAAAGUACGAAGGGAAUACUUGCCCACUAAGCCAUCUUGUGAUGUACGUCAGAAAAAUGUCUACUCAUACUGAUAAUGAUCAGUUGUUGAUUCACUAUUUCCAAGACUGUUUAACUAGAGUUGCUUUAAGGUGGUAUAUGGGUUUGGAUAGUGCAAAAAUUCUUACUUUCAACGACUUAGGCGAGGCCUUUGUCAAGCAGUAUAAGUACAACGUGGAUAUGGUGCCUGAUGGAGACCAGAUGAGGUCUAUGUCUCAGAAAGAUAAAGAGACAUUCAAACAAUAUGCCAGAGAUGGAGAGAGCUUGGUGCCCAGACAAGUCCACCUCUUGAAGAGAAAGAGAUGCGAAGAUGUUCUUGAAGAUGUUGAGUUUGUUUUAUUAUGAAUGUAUGAUUGCGGGUGCCCCCAACAAUUUUACCGAAAUGGUAAACAUGGGGAUGAGGCUAGAAGAAGGAGUCCGUGAAGGACAUAUGUCUAAAGAAGAAGCAUCAUCCAACAAGAAAUAUGGUUGGAGUUUCUCCAAGAGGAAGAAAGGAGAAACUAAUUCAGUGUCAGUAGGGAGGCAGAGGAGGCCUCAUGUCAGAAAGAGUUCUCAACCCUGUCAACAUCAGUAUCAAGUUUCCUCAGUAAUUCCGUUUUUUUCCAUCAAUUUCAACAAUCAAUCAGUUCCAAUUCAACAACAACAACAUCAACAACAACUGCAACAAUGAACCAACUACAACAACAAUAAUCAUCAAUAAAACUUUGAGAGGAAGAAGGUCUCCUUUGACCCUAUUCCUAUGAAUUAUGCAAAAUUGUAUCCAUCAUUGGUUCUCAAGAACCUCAUUCAACCAAGAAAUCCUUCGCCGAUUCCUGAGCCAUUACCAUGGUGGUUCAAACCCGACCUUCAUUAUGCUUUUCACUAGGGAGCCCAUGACCAUGACAUAUAAAACUGCUAUCCAUUGAAAUAUGAAGUCCAAAAGCUUAUAAAUAGUGGUAUGGUGUCCUUUGAGGAUAAAUCACUGAAUGUAAAAGCCAAUCCGUUGUCUGCUCAUGGUAACGCUUCUGUCAACAUGGUGGACGGCUGUCCAGGGAAUUUUAGAGUUUUUGAUGUACGACGUAUCCGAAGAUCUCUGGUGGAGAUGCAUAAGACAUUGUGUUUGAUCAGUGAUUGUGAACAUGACCAUGAUGGUUGUGUCAUCUGUAGUGUGAACCCCCGUGGGUGUAUGGUCGUCAAGAGAGAUAUCCAGACGUUGAUGGAUGAGAAUGUAAUCUAGAUUAAAUAGUCAAGGGAUAUAGAUGAUGUGAAUGUUAUUGUACCGGUGUUCAAGACCCAUGAGCGGGUAGUUAUCGAGUUCGAUAGUAGCAACAACAAUAAUGUUAACAGAUCGGUAUCGUCGUUGGUUAUACGGUUAGUGGGCCCUGUCCCGUAUGCAUCCGAUAAAGCUGUGCCAUAUCAAUAUAACGCCAUUAUGAUUGAAGAUGGUCAAGAGGUUCCUCUACCAGUCGCCGACUCAGUGGUGAAUAAUGCAGAUAUUACGAAGGUGACUCGUAGCGGUUGUGUGUCCAGUCCCGUGUUUCCAAAGAUAGUAGAAGAUGUUGCAGCAAGUAAGAAAGCAGAGAUUCCUAUAGUGAAUCCAGUUAGUACUCCAAUGUGUCAAUCUGGUGAAUCCAUCAAAUUGAAGACUAACAAUGAUGAUGAGGUGCUAAAGUUGAUCAAAAGAAGUGAAUUCAAUAUUGUGGAGCAGCUACUCCAGACGCCGUAAAAAAUCUCCAUACUGUCACUGCUAAUGAAUUCUGAAGCACAUAGGGAAGCGUUGCAAAAAGUUCUAGAGCAGGAUUAUGUUGAGCACGAUGUGACCGUGGAUCAGUUUGACCAUAUAGUUGCCAACAUUACUUCUUGUAAUAAUCUGAGUUUUGUGAUGAAGAUCUUCCCGGGGAAGACAUGAAUCACAAUUUGGCACUCCAUAUUUCGAUGAAUUGAAAAGAGGAUGCUCUGUCCAAUGUGCUGGUUGAUACAAAGUCAUCUUUGAACGUGCUCCUGAAAUCAACUCUGUAAAGACUCUCUUAUCAAGGCACCCUAAUGAGGUACAACAACGUGAUUGUCAAAGUGUUCGACGGUUCUCGUAAAACUGUCAUUGGUGAAGUGGACCUUCCAGUGAAGAUAGGUCCGAGUGAUUUCCAUAUUACUUUCCAGGUAAUGGAUAUCCACCCGACCUACAGUUUCUUAUUGGGAAGGCCAUGGAUUCCUGAAGCUGGAGCUGUGACAUCUACUCUACAUCAGAAGCUAAAAUUUGUGAAGAACGACAUGCUUGUUAUUGUUGGUGAAGAGAAGGCAUUGUUAGUGAGCUAUUUGUCAUCUUUCACUUAUUUUGAUGAUGAGGAGAAGAUUGGAACAAAGUUCCAGGCCUUAUCCAUUGCUGAUGAAAUGAAGAAAACUGGGGCACCCAUGUCUUCUUUAAAAGAUGCGCAAGAGGCUAUUCAAGUUGGUAACAUUUACAAGUGGGGUCAUGUUGUGGAGAUUACCGAGAACAAGAAUAGAGCUGGAUUGGGAUUUCAACUAGGGCCAUUCAGUGCCAGAGCCAAAGUUAUGCAACCAAUUUUCUGCAGUGGAGGGUUCAUUAGUGAGAAUGAUCAACACUUAGCCGCCAUUAUUGAAGACAGUGGUGAUGAAGACGAAGCUUGCGCCAACUUUGUGACGCAUGGCCAGACUUGCAACAACUGGAUUGUUGUUGAUGUUCCUGUUUUCAUUCAUCGUUCUAAGUAAUUUGUUUUAUUUAUUUUAAGAAAAUCCUUCUCUUAUGCCUAAGGGAGAAGUGAACAUUGUUGGGCAUUUUAUUAUUAUCAUCAAUAAAAUACGAUUUUAUUCAUCCACAUCUAUGAUGUUUUAUAUUUUCUUUUUGCUUUUUGCUUUUUCUGAAAAUGGUAAUCACAAAAAACAUAACAAAUAGUAAUCUUCCAUCUGCAUAAUAUUUGUUCACACUCCACUUCUCUAAAAUCAAAAUAUCAAAUGAUUAUGCAGGUUGGUUCUCAAACCCAUUGAAUACAAUGAUCCUACUCCCUCUCCAAACUUUGAUUUCCAUGUGUUUGAAGCUAAGGAAGAAAGUGAUGAUGAAGAAAUAUCUGAUGAAUUAUCUCGUUUGCUUAAGCACGAGGAAAAAGUCGUUCAGCCAUUUAAAGAACAAAUUAGUCAACUUGGGUUCCGAGGACGAUGUGAAAGAAGUCAAUAUUGGGUCUCAACUUUGUCUAGAAGCUAAGAAGGGGUUGAUUGAUCUUCUUCGAGAUUAUUCUGAUGUGUUUGCUUGGUCCUAUCAAGACAUGCCAGGGUUGGAUUCUGAGAUUGUGGAGAAUAGAUUGCCGUUGAAGCCAGAAUGUCCGCCAGUCAAGCAGAAGUUAAGAAGAACUCAUCCUGAUAUAGCAGUUAAGAUCAAAGAGGAAGUGCAGAAGCAGAUUGAUGCUGGUUUUCUUGUAACCUCUGAAUAUCCGCAGUGGGUGGCCAAUAUUGUGCAUGUUCCUAAGAAAGAUGGAAAAGUACGCAUCUGUGUUGAUUAUAGAGAUUUGAAUAAAGCUAGUCCAAAAGAUGAUUUUCCUCUGCCACACAUUGAUAUGUUGGUAGACAAUACAUCUAAAUUCAAAGUCUUUUCAUUUAUGGAUGGAUUUUCCAAUUAUAAUCAAAUCAAGAUGGCACCCGAAGAUAUGGAGAAGACCACAUUCAUUACACCCUGGAGAAUAUUCUGUUAUAGAGUGAUGCCUUUCGGUUUAAAGAAUGCUGAUGCAACGUACCAGAGAGCUAUGACCACUCUUUUUCAUGAUAUGAUGCAUAAAGAGAUUAAAAUUUAUGUUGAUGAUAUGAUUGCCAAGUCAAGUGAUGAAGAAGAGCAUGUUGAGCAUUAGUUAAAGUUAUUCCAGCGAUUGAGGAAGUACAAACUCCACUUGAAUCCCAAUAAGUGUACUUUUGGUGUUCGUUCUGGUAAGUUAUUGGACUUUAUUGUCAGUGAGAAGGGUAUUGAAGUUGAUCCUGCCAAGGUCAAAGCAAUACAAGAAAUGCCUGCGCCCAAAACUGAGAAGCAAGUCAGAGGAUUUCUCGGCCGCUUGAAUUAUAUCUCAAGAUUUAUAUCGCAUAUGACUGCCACAUGUGCGCCUAUUUUCAAGCUUCUUCAGAAAGAUCAGUCUUGUGAUUGGACCGAAGAUUACCAUAAAGCUUUUGAUAGUAUCAAAGAGUACUUGCUUGAGCCUCCUAUUUUGUCUCUGCUUGUUGAAGCAAGACCGUUGAUCAUGUAUUUGACUGUGUUGGAUGAUAGUAUGGAUUGUGUUCUUGGUCAGCAAGGUGAAUCGGGAAAGAAAGAAUAUGCAAUUUACUACCUCAGUAAGAAAUUCACCGACUGUGAGACUCGGUAUUCUAUGCUUGAAAAGACAUGUUGUGCAUUGACUUGGGCUGCUAAGCGUCUACGCCAAUAUAUGUUGAACCAUACCACUUGGUUGAUAUCCAAAAUGGAUCCAAUCAAGUAUAUCUUUGAGAAGCCUGCUUUAACUGGGAGGAUUUCCCGUUGGCAGAUGUUGUUAUCUGAGUAUGAUAUUGAAUAUCGAUCUCAGAAAGUUAUCAAGAGUAGUAUCUUAGCAGACCAAUUGGCUCACCAACCGAUUGAAGAUUACCAGUCAGUGCAGUAUGAUUUUCCUAACGAAGAGAUUUUGUACUUGAAAAUGAAAGAUUGUGAUGAACCGCUGCUUGAAGAAGGGCCAGAACCUGGUUCCCGUUGGGGCAUGGUAUUUGAUGGAGUUGUUAAUUCAUAUGUGUCAUACCCCAAUUUGGUCAGGGCAUUUCAAAAUUUUCAUAAAUUUGAUUUAAUUUUCAGUUUUCAUCAUAUCUACAGCAUAACACGCAUUUCAUCAUGAAUAACACAUAAAAUAUCAGUCGGAAUAAAUUCUUGAAAAUACAAACAAGUUGGUUAAAUCAUUCCUCAAGUACGGACAAAAUCAGCGGAUAAAAAAGUUUUGAAAUUAAACUUGCAGACGUCAGUAUUAUUAAUCUAUGGUUCACGUAGUUUAAUCUGGUGUGCUCGUUUUAUUUUUCGACGACUUUUUCAGUCGCAUUUUGAUCCAUCUGAGCCUUUUAACCGGUGAAAAUUUAUUUCAAAAUUUAAAGAAACGCUGUAUUUUUUCAAUAAGUAUAUUUCGUGCUGAUCAUUUUAGUGCGUCUGAUUUAAUUUUUUGAGCAAAUUUUUGCCCGACUUUUAUUCAUUUUUAGUCGUUUUAAUUUUACUCUUUUGCCAAAAUAUUCAGAUUAAAUAAAUAGAAUUUUCCAUGUCCUUAGUUUAUUUUUAUCACAUUAAUUUAAGGAGUUGUCAAUUUUAUUUGAUUUAAUUGAUUUAAAUGGUUUAAAUCAAUUAAAUCAUAUAGAAUGGGCGUUUUAGGCAUUUUAAAUUAUCUAACAACUUUUGUUUCUUUGUGUGUUUCCUUAAGUUAUAUUGGGAUCAUCGGUUCAAAUUUAUCAAUGACCCAUAAUGGCAAUCCUUCUCCAUUUCAUUUCAUCCAAUCAAAAAUAAAAUAAAAUUAAUUGAAUUAAAAAUGACAAAGAAAAUUAGAAAAUAAAAAUAUCUUGUUUCUCCCCAGUAAAGUUGAGCCACACGUCCGUUAUGGAUAAGGAUUAUAUUUUUUUUAACUAAAGAAAAUGAAAUACAACUCAAUAACCUCUGUCCACUAAUGAAUCUCUGUUGGUCUAACGGUAAGAAAGGAAAAAAAACAAAAAGGACAACUAGCCUCCACACUCUCUCAGAGACUCUCUCAUUUUCCAAUGGCUAUAGGUCACAGAAAAAUAAAAUAAAAAGGAAAAAGGGGAACACCGUUCAUGUUCUUUCCCACAACUCCAUUCACUCACGUAGAACGCCAAUCAACCACAAUAAGCCGCCGGAAAACAUUAACUCAUUACAAUCGCCGCCUCCAUAAAACCUCCUUCACACUCACCUCCGCUGCGAACCCGGACCACCGUCCCAUCCAACCUUCCGCCACGAAUCUAAUCCCCACCGUUAUCUUCCCACCAUCACAAAGUCCCCUCUCCAACUUCUCUGUCGCGGCUACAACACCACGACACCCCCCCGUUGCACCGUCGGUGGCAACCCCAAACCAUCCGCCGGCGAACCCUUAUCCGUCUGUCACCAAUUCCGACCACCGCAAAACCAUCUCACUUCGCUCAUUCCAUCUCCGUUCCUUCACCUGCGCAAACUAAGCGCCAUAGUCGCCCAACACACCUCUCCUUCUUCUUCUCUAAGUUCCGCCGGCAAACGAUUCUUCCGUUGGAAACACCAUCACCAUCAUAAAACUCUCCUCAUCAUGGAAUCACAGUCCAUUUCCUUCAUACACCCUCGCCGACAACGUCCAAAACAUUACUCCCUUUUACUACUUCAGAUCUACAAACUCAACCGUCGCCCGUGAAUCCUCCACCGCGACCCACCUUCAACUACCGCAUGAUCCUUUUUCCGACCGACCAACCCCAAGCUACACCAUUCAACAUCGUCAAACACAUGACGCCCAUCGCCGGCGGAAUAUUACAUCUACCUGCACCGUCAAGCCUCUCUCGUUACGGUAUUCUUGCGUCACCGUCAUUUUCCGUGUUUGGUUGGUUUUCCUGUCUUAUCUCUUUCUAUACUCGUUGUUCUAAUGAAUUUCAUGGAAUUGUAGCAUAUCUAUGAUGGUGUAUAUCGAUUAUGCCGGUUAUGUUUCAAUUUCAUCAUGUGACUUUUGUUGACUAUCAUGUUGUUGUGUUUGUUCAUAAGGAAGUUGGAAAAAGUAGCUAAGCACAUGCUUGUGUGGUUUAAUCUCUGUGUUUUUUUAUUAGGAUAUUAGAUUGUUGUGGAUCUUUUAAAUAUUGCAUGUAGUAAUAUAUUGAUUAAUUGGCCAAUAGAUUGUGAGAUAUUAAAAGUCUGUUACGGCUGAUUUUGGUUUGGUAUCUUGCCAAGAAUAUGUAAAUAAAAAGUUAAGUUAUAGCAUAUGAAUGGUGGUAAUCAUAAUUCUGAGUAGUAGUACAUAUAUUGUAAUUAUAUUUUGGUUAUAUCACAGUGUACAUAGAUUGUAAUUAUAAGUUGGUUAAAUUAUAGCAUAUGAACGGUGGUAGUCAUAAUUCUCAGUAGUAGUAUAUAUAUUGUAAUUAUAUUUUGGUUAUAUUACAGUGUACAUAGCUUGUAAUUAUAUUUUGGUUAUAUUAUAGCAUAUGAAUAGUAGUAAUCACAAUUCUGAGUUAAUUAAGUAUUAAUAUUUUAAUUGUAUUAACAAUUGAUUGCUAU